AUUGAACGCUGGCGGCGUGCUUAACACAUGCAAGUCGAUCGGUAACAGGUGUAGCAAUACAUGCUGACGAGAGGCGGACGGGUGAGUAAUGCUUGGGAAUCUGCCUAUUAGUGGGGGACAACCCGGGGAAACUCGGGCUAAUACCGCAUACGCUCUACGGAGGAAAGCCGGGGACCGCAAGGCCUGGCGCUAAUAGAUGAGCCCAAGUCGGAUUAGCUAGUUGGUAGGGUAACGGCCUACCAAGGCGACAAUCCGUAGCUGGUCUGAGAGGACGACCAGCCACACCGGAACUGAGACACGGUCCGGACUCCUACGGGAGGCAGCAGUGGGGAAUAUUGGACAAUGGGGGCAACCCUGAUCCAGCGACGCCGCGUGGGUGAAGAAGGCCUGCGGGUUGUAAGA
rnacentral:rRNA from 1 species